rnacentral:rRNA from 1 species
AUUGAACGCUGGCGGCAUGCCUUACACAUGCAAGUCGAACGGCAGCACGGGAGCAAUCCUGGUGGCGAGUGGCGAACGGGUGAGUAAUAUAUCGGAACGUGCCCAGUAGUGGGGGAUAGCCCGGCGAAAGCCGGAUUAAUACCGCAUACGACCUGAGGGUGAAAGCGGGGGAUCGCAAGACCUCGCGCUAUUGGAGCGGCCGAUAUCAGAUUAGCUUGUUGGUGGGGUAAAAGCCUACCAAGGCGACGAUCUGUAGCUGGUCUGAGAGGACGGCCAGGCACAGUGGGAAGGAGACACGGCCAAGAGUCCUACGGGAGGCAGCAGUGGGAAAUGUUGGACAAUGGGGGCAAGCCUGAUUCAUCCAUGCGGCGUGCGGGAAGAAGGCCUGCGGGUUGUAAACCGCUUUUGUCAGGGAAGAAGCGGCUCUUGAUAAUACCGAGAGCUAAUGACGGUACCUGAAGAAUAAGCACCGGCUAACUACGUGCCAGCCGCCGCCGUAA